rnacentral:lncRNA from 1 species
AAAAGCAGAAUCAAACCCCAAAUAAAAAAGAAAAUAAGCAACAACUUGGAGAAACAUUAGACUAAGCGUCAGACCAUGUGAUAUCCAAGUGACCCCAGUCGUCCUCAGAUACACCUAAGGCUUUCCAGACAGCCUUGGAGGCAUCAACAUGUUAUCAAAAUGAAAAUUAACUAAGAAUCAAUCAGCGAGUGAGUGUGGAAGAGGAGGGAUUUACUUGGAUAUUCGUGUUAUGCCAUUUGCAGAGAAGGGCUUGCCAUCAUUGUUGAGGUCCAAAGAACAAGUCUCCUAGAUUUGGGUUCUACGGACCAAGAGAAAAAGAGAGGAGACGAAGAAAAAAAGAGACAUGCCCAGCUGGGAGGAGAAAGAGAUGAACUGGAAUUCAGCUAUUAAAAUAGAAGUUCCUAUGCUUGCUCUGUAGUUGUUAGAAGAACCAUUCUGUUAAUCAUGGUUGCAUAAAAGAUUCAGGUAUUAGGAGGGAUCUAAUUUAUGAAAUCCUUUUCCGAUAAGAGGCUGAUGGAAAAUUGGACAAAGAGUUCAGUGGUGAUGAGACUGCAAGAAUGAUUUGGGCAGCAGCAGAUAGAGUUACUGAAAUUGAAUGUGGAGGCAGUCAUGGAUUCAUAGCAAAGAGUGGGAAUUAGGAUGCAAGAACAAUUGUCAAGGACUGGACUCAUUUUCUCCUUCUGUAAAGGUCACGAGAAAGAUAACUUAGUAAGCUAGGAGUUGGUGGGUAGAUGGAAGGAGAAUGGAGGUGGGAGCAAUUUGAUCGGGCAAUAAAGAACUUCAUAGGAGAUAUCAUUGGGAGCCAUAUUCCUUGUGGCAGGGUACGGCUGAGAAUGGAUGGCUAAGCCACUGUAUAAGACAAUCUCACAUCCUCUUUAGAGUGCUGCAAAUUUGUAUUGUGGAAUGAGGAGAAGAUGAGAUUUGGGGAAGCGGUUGUACAAGUCGUUUAUGCAGCUGCUGUUUCCCAGAUAUUUGGGCUCCUGUUUCACUUGUGCCUUUACAAGGCAGAAUGGUUUGGGUGUUAUCUGUAAAAUUUUAAUAUUUGACAGAUAUCAUUUUGGUCAGAAUCUCAUUAUAUGACCUUUAAUGUUCUUAAAUUGAAAUUGAUUGUUACUG